CUGCCUCAAAGUGGGGGAUAGCCUUCCGAAAGGAAGAUUAAUACCGCAUAAUAUAAGAGAAUCGCAUGAUUUUCUUAUCAAAGAUUUAUUGCUUUGAGAUGGACCCGCGGCGCAUUAGCUAGUUGGUAAGGUAACGGCUUACCAAGGCAACGAUGCGUAGCCGACCUGAGAGGGUGAUCGGCCACAUUGGAACUGAGACACGGUCCAGACUCCUACGGGAGGCAGCAGUGGGGAAUAUUGCGCAAUGGGGGAAACCCUGACGCAGCAACGCCGCGUGGGUGAUGAAGGUCUUCGGAUUGUAAAGCCCUGUUUUCUGGGACGAUAAUGACGGUACCAGAGGAGGAAGCCACGGCUAACUACGUGCCAGCAGCCGCGGUAAUACGUAGGUGGCGAGCGUUGUCCGGAUUUACUGGGCGUAAAGGGUGCGUAGGCGGAUGUUUAAGUGGGAUGUGAAAUCCCCGGGCUUAACCUGGGGGCUGCAUUCCAAACUGGAUAUCUAGAGUGCAGGAGAGGAAAGCGGAAUUCCUAGUGUAGCGGUGAAAUGCGUAGAGAUUAGGAAGAACACCAGUGGCGAAGGCGGCUUUCUGGACUGUAACUGACGCUGAGGCACGAAAGCGUGGGUAGCAAACAGGAUUAGAUACCCUGGUAGUCCACGCCGUAAACGAUGGAUACUAGGUGUAGGGGGUAUCAACUCCCCCUGUGCCGCAGUUAACACAAUAAGUAUCCCGCCUGGGGAGUACGGUCGCAAGAUUAAAACUCAAAGGAAUUGACGGGGGCCCGCACAAGCAGCGGAGCAUGUGGUUUAAUUCGAAGCAACGCGAAGAACCUUACCUGGACUUGACAUCCCUUGCAUAGCCUAGAGAUAGGUGAAGCCCUUCGGGGCAAGGAGACAGGUGGUGCAUGGUUGUCGUCAGCUCGUGUCGUGAGAUGUUAGGUUAAGUCCUGCAACGAGCGCAACCCUUGUUAUUAGUUGCUACCAUUAAGUUGAGCACUCUAAUGAGACUGCCUGGGUAACCAGGAGGAAGGUGGGGAUGACGUCAAAUCAUCAUGCCCCUUAUGUCCAGGGCUACACACGUGCUACAAUGGUAGGUACAAUAAGACGCAAGACCGUGAGGUGGAGCAAAACUUAUAAAACCUAUCUCAGUUCGGAUUGUAGGCUGCAACUCGCCUACAUGAAGCUGGAGUUGCU
rnacentral:rRNA from 1 species